UACGAAGGGGGCUAGCGUUGUUCGGAAUUGCUGGGCGUAAAGCGCGCGUAGGCGGUCAUUUAAGUCAGGGGUGAAAUCCCAGAGCUCAACUCUGGAACUGCCUUUGAUACUGGGUGUCUUGAGUAUGGAAGAGGUGAGUGGAAUUCCGAGUGUAGAGGUGAAAUUCGUAGAUAUUCGGAGGAACACCAGUGGCGAAGGCGGCUCACUGGUCCGUUACUGACGCUGAGGUGCGAAAGCGUGGGGAGCAAACAGG
rnacentral:rRNA from 1 species